CAAAUACUCCCUUCGUUCAGAAAUACUUGUCGUAGAAAUGGAUGUAUCUAGACAUUUUUUAAUUCUAGAUACAUCCAUUUCUUCGACAAGUAAUUCGGAACAGAGAAAGUAGCAA
rfam:Triticum urartu cultivar G1812 contig357016, whole genome shotgun sequence.